rnacentral:sRNA from 1 species
UAAUGAAAAAAGAAAAAGGAAGUCCCGCUGGAACAGGACUUCCCAUGCAAGCCACUUCAAAGGCGGUGGCAGAUAUUAAAACGACACUAGU